AUUGAACGCUGGCGGAAUGCUUUACACAUGCAAGUCGAACGGCAGCACGGGGCAACCUGGUGGCGAGUGGCGAACGGGUGAGUAAUACAUCGGAACGUGCCCAAUCGUGGGGGAUAACGUAGCGAAAGUUACGCUAAUACCGCAUACGAUCUACGGAUGAAAGCGGGGGAACGCAAGACCUCGCGCGAAUGGAGCGGCCGAUGUCAGAUUAGGUAGUUGGUGGGGUAAAGGCUCACCAAGCCAACGAUCUGUAGCUGGUCUGAGAGGACGACCAGCCACACCGGAACUGAGACACGGUCCAGACUCCUACGGGAGGCAGCAGUGGGGAAUUUUGGACAAUGGGCGAAAGCCUGAUCCAGCCAUUCCGCGUGAGUGAAGAAGGCCUUCGGGUU
rnacentral:rRNA from 1 species